rnacentral:rRNA from 1 species
GUGCCAGCAGCCGCGGUAAUACAGAGGGUGCAAGCGUUAAUCGGAAUUACUGGGCGUAAAGGGCGCGUAGGUGGAUGAUUGAGUCAGAUGUGAAAGCCCUGGGCUUAACCUAGGAAUUGCAUAUGAUACUGGUUGUCUAGAGUGGAGGAGAGGGUAGCGGAAUUCCCGGUGUAGCGGUGAAAUGCGUAGAUAUCGGGAAGAACACCGGUGGCGAAGGCGGCUACCUGGCCUCACACUGACACUGAGGCGCGAAAGCGUGGGGAGCGAACAGGAUUAGAUACCCUGGUAGUCCACGCUGUAAACGAUGAAGACUAGCUGUUGGGAGACGAAAAGUUUUUUAGUAGCGAAGCUAACGCGAUAAGUCUUCCGCCUGGGGAGUACGGCCGCAAGGCUAAA